UACGAAGGGGGCUAGCGUUGCUCGGAAUCACUGGGCGUAAAGGGUGCGUAGGCGGAUUGCUAAGUCAGGGGUGAAAUCCUGGAGCUCAACUCCAGAACUGCCUUUGAUACUGGCGGUCUCGAGUCCGGGAGAGGUGAGUGGAACUGCGAGUGUAGAGGUGAAAUUCGUAGAUAUUCGCAAGAACACCAGUGGCGAAGGCGGCUCACUGGCCCGGUACUGACGCUGAGGUGCGAAAGCGUGGGGAGCAAACAGGG
rnacentral:rRNA from 1 species